rnacentral:piRNA from 1 species
UUUGUAAUAUCCCAGAUUGGUGGGGAAGG